CAGUAGCCGCGGUAAUACAGAGGGUGCGAGCGUUAAUCGGAUUUACUGGGCGUAAAGCGUGCGUAGGCGGCUAAUUGAGUCGGAUGUGAAAUCCCCGAGCUUAACUUGGGAAUUGCAUUCGAUACUGGUUAGCUAGAGUGUGGGAGAGGAUGGUAGAAUUCCAGGUGUAGCGGUGAAAUGCGUAGAGAUCUGGAGGAAUACCGAUGGCGAAGGCAGCCAUCUGGCCUAACACUGACGCUGAGGUACGAAAGCAUGGGGAGCAAACAGGAUUAGAUACCCCUGUAGUCCCUGUCUCUUAUUU
rnacentral:rRNA from 1 species